rnacentral:rRNA from 1 species
UAAGCGGAGGAAAAGAAACUAACAAUGAUUCCCUUAGUAACGGCGAGUGAAGGGGGAAAAGCUCAAAUUUUAAAUCUGCUAGGUUUUACCUAUUAGAGUUGUAUUUUGAAGAAGCGUUUUCCGCGUCUCGGUUGACCCAAAUCCUUUGGGAUGAGGUAUCAUGGAGGGUGAGAAUCCCGUCCGGUUGACCUUAUGACGCUCUACGAUACGUUUUCAAAGAGUCGAGUUGUUUGGGAUUGCAGCUCAAAAUGGGAGGUAAAUUUCUCCUAAGGCUAAAUAUUGGCGAGAGACCGAUAGCGAACAAGUACCGUGAGGGAAAGAUGAAAAGAACUUUGAAAAGAGAGUAAAAUAGUACGUGAAAUUGUUGAAAGGGAAACGAUUGAAGUCAGUCGUACCGACGAGAAAUCAGCUUUUCGAGUGUGAACUUGUGGGCGUGUGAGAGUUUUAAACCCUCGCUGUUUGCAACGUUUGUGCUUUUGGGUGUACUUUUCGUAUUGGUAGGCCAACAUCAGUUUCGAGCACCAUAAAUGACCGGCGGAAUGUAGCUUCGAUCUCGUAUUGAAGUGUUAUAGCUUCUGGUAGAUGUGGUGAUUGGGACUGAGGAUUGCAACGAAUACCUUUUGAGGCUAUCCGUCUGAUCUCUGAAAGUCGCUUAGGUGCCGAAAGCAUGCUUUACGGUUAUUUAAGUUUGACGGUCAAAAGGUUAGAACGUGAUUACAUUCGUUAAGGAUGUUGGCGUAAUGGCUUUAAACGACCCGUCUUGAAACACGGACCAAGGAGUCUAACAUAUGUGCGAUGUUU